rnacentral:rRNA from 1 species
UAUUGCGCAAUGGGCGAAAGCCUGACGCAGCGACGCCGCGUGAGGGAUGAAGGUCUUCUGAUCGUAAACCUCUGUCCGAAGGGAAGAAAGUGCGUGGUGCUAAUCAGCCGCGUAUUGACGGUACCUUCAAAGGAAGCACCGGCCAACUCCGUGCCCGCAGCCGCGGUAAUACGGAGGGUGCGAGCGUUUAUCGGAAUUACUGGGCGUAAAGCGCACGUAGGCUGUUGUGUAAGUCAGGGAUGAAAUCCCACGGCUCAACCGUGGAACUGCCCUUGAUACUGCAUGACUGGAAUCCGGGAGAGGGUGGCGGAAUUCCAGGUGUAGGAGUGAAAUCCGUAGAUAUCUGGAGGAACAUCAGUGGCGAAGGCGGCCACCUGGACCGGUAUUGACGCUGAGGUGCGAAAGCGUGGGGAGCAAACAGG